GCCUGCGCAAGUGGCGCAGCCGCUGCAUGGCGGCCGCUCGGCCGCCGCGUCCCCGCGCCGUUUGCUGCCGAGCUGCAGCCCUCACAGAGCUCCAGUGGUGGGGGCCUGCCGUGCGAGCUGCAGGCGCGUUCACAGAAGGACACGCCUUCCGCUUUCGGUUUGUGUGACUCACGGUUCAGAUGACUGGGAGAAAGUGAUCCGUGUAGUAACUCCUGGACCGUCCAGAUGGCAAGUCCAAACACAUGAUCCUGCAGAACUUCCAGCUUCUUUCCAAAGCCAACCUCAUUCCUAAUGCUUUCAACAUAUGUAAGGCCUAAAGGGGGCUGUCAUGUGGGAGUUCUUACAUUGUAUCUUACCUGGGAUGAAGCUUCUUCAAGGUAGAUUUCCCCAUAUCAUAGCUGUAAGCAUUAAGCUCAAUUUAUUCCCUGGAUUGUGUUAUGGAAAAUCUCAAACAAACUACCUGAAAGUAACUUUUGAGCUCAUUUGUGUUGAAUAAAGGUGUCACAGCUGUGACAAAAUACUUACCAGAAUUUUUGCAUAAUGACACUUUCCCGCAUGCAGCUAUAAGCACACUACUGCAAGAGCUUGGACUUCAUGAGUAAAUCUGCAAGAACAGAACUGUGCAGAACGCCAUUGAAAUCCAUGGAAUCCAGCUUGAAAGGAGGCAACAAUGGGCACAGAGGAAACAGCAAAGUCAACAAGAUUUAAACCAAUGUUAGAACCAAUGAAGGUUAUUGAACAUUUUCAGAGUGAAAAGUAAUCAAAAAUUACUUGCAAAUCUUUGAAGAGAAAGCAAGGGUUUUGUUUUGGGUUGGCUAGCAGAAUAUUCUCAUUCAGUGUUUCCAGCAUAAGCAUUUCAAUACUGUUAAACUGUAAAUGAAAACUAAGAAUUUAUAUAUAUUUGGGGGGGGAGGGCAGAGGACAGAUUGGGAAACCUGCAAAACAUAGUAGGUACAUAGUGACAAAGUGUCACAUUUCGUUGUUUAUUUUAAAGCAUACUUAAAAAUACUUAUUACCAUAACAACAGAAAAUCCCCCAACAUUUGGUCAGUAAGAGAAUAGCAAUGUUUUCUUAAAGCUGUGGUUGUUUUUUUAGGACUGAGUGCUGAGGGAUUCAGCAGGAUAUAUGGUGUUCCAUAGCUCUCACUGGCUUUAGCAGGUGGGAACCAAAGAAGUUUUUGUGCUUGGCUGCUCAUAGCAUCCCUUCACAUGUGCCACACUUUGUCAGCCUCAGAGACCUGCUGCACAAGUACAAUUGAUGAGGGCAGUGAACCAUAAUGAGAGGACAAAAAAUUGUGAAAUGCCUUCUAUUUUCUGCAUCUCACACUCUCCUUAAAUUCCUUUGCUUCUUGGCAUGGAAGGCACCAUUAUUCAUGUUUGGGAAUGUAGCAGCCCAAUUGUUUGUUUGGUAAAAAAUUUACCUAAAGAAUCUUUUGUUCAGUCCCCUUGACUUUACCAACAAAAAACCUCACAGCCCCUGCCCCCCCAAAAAAAACCAAAAACAAAACAAAACAAAUGCCAAAACAAAACAAAACAAAAAAACAACAGAAACAAAAACCCCAAGCAAACAAACAAAACAAAAAAAAACCCGAAAAGGAAUUUUAUGGCUAGCAUUUGCAGUACCACCUUGCACCCCUCAGUCCCCUUUGUGAUUUGUCCAAAUUCUACCUCCCCAAUGUAUUUUCCCCCUUUCUCUCCUCCACUUGCACUGGACACCAGUGAUGCCUUAAUUCAAAUCAGGUGGUUUCCAACUGGCAUAGUGGUAGUUCUGGAUUUGUUCCUGCGAGUCUGAGCUUGCAGAAUUGAUGCAUAAUUCCAGCCUGAGUGCACUGCCACUAGUUAAUUUGAGGAGGCAUGUCUGUCAAGUGUCCUGAGGAACCCUCUGUGUUGCAGGCUGUGUGGCACAGGAGCAGGAGCUGCUGCACAGAUGCAGCAUCUGGCUGAGAGGAAGAGAGAUGCCCCUUGCUGCACAUAUGGGAGAGCUCAGAAGCUGGGCAGGCUCCUAUGAAAAGAGCCCACAAAAUGUGAGAAAGGAGCUUUCAGGACUGGGAGCUUUCCCUUCCUGUUGCAGAGCUGGAAUCACCCGGACUCACCCAGUGUAAUAGGUUGCCUUGCAGUGAUUCCACGGCUGGGUCCUGCUGGGUGGGGCUUCCAGACAGUGCUGGUGACAGGGUGGCUGGGGCAGUGUGGCACUGCAGCACUCCAGAGCAUCCUGCAUCUCAUCCCGUGCUGGCCGUGGGGCUGCCUGGGCUGGCUUUGUUCAGAGCGCCCCAUUAGUGCAGUGUGGACGCGCAGAUAAUGUGAGCCAAAGCACCCGUGGAGAGAAUUACUGCAGGAUAAGUAAUGCACUGGCAAUCUGCACCCUAGUUUAUUUCAUGUUAAUUUCUUCAACAUAAUCACCUCCUGCACCUUCUAAUUUUCCCAACAUUUUUUCAGCCUGUGCUUUUUCCGGGGAGCCUUAUUUUUCUCCAAAGCCAUCAUGACCCACCUGCUGAAUGAAGUAGCUGGCACACACAUUUAACUGAAUGUGAAAUGUACUAAUUUCGUUUUUCCUGUGAUAGAAGCCUGUCUCAAGGAGAGCUGUACUGUAGAAAAUAAGGCCUGAGGAAAGAAGGUAAAAAAAGCAAAACCCAAACCCUAAACUGAAAAAUACACCUAUAUUUUUCAUUUAAACAUUUUUAUUGGCACUUCUACUGAAGCAGAAUGUUCUUAACAACAAACCCAUUCAUACUGUGCAGAUUCACUUUUAUAGGAAUUGCUUGCAUUGUCUCUUGGAGAAAUGCAGUAAUAACACAUUGGAUUUGUGCCUAAAUUGUACAAUAAAGCAUGGAUGAUGUCAGAGCAUUGCAGAAGGCUUUGUGGUUUUUCUGUACAGGAUUUUAAUUUGCAGAAUAUUGGUAUUAAACUUCUGUAUAUCUGUAGAGGUGACUUUGAGUGGCACUGAUUUAACAAUAUUCACUGAGGCAAGAACAUUCCAACCCUUCUAGACAGUGGUGCACUUUAAACCACCUGGAAGGUCCCUUCUCUUUUCCCUUCCUUUGGAAAAUCCUUUGCAGUAGAUUUCACUGAGUCUCCCGUCUAAUAAAUUAUUUUGCUUUCGUUC